GAUGAACGCUGGCGGCGUGCCUAAUACAUGCAAGUCGAGCGAACAGACGAGGAGCUUGCUCCUCUGACGUUAGCGGCGGACGGGUGAGUAACACGUGGAUAACAUACCUAUAAGACUGGGAUAACUUCGGGAAACCGGAGCUAAUACCGGAUAAUAUAUCGAACCGCAUGGUUCAAUAGUGAAAGACGGUUUUGCUGUCUCUUAUAGAUGGAUCCGCGCCGCAUUAGCUAGUUGGUAAGGUAACGGCCAACCAAGGCGACGAUGCGUAGCCGACCUGAGAGGGUGAUCAGCCACACUGGAACUGAGACACGGUCCAGACUCCUACGGGAGGCAGCAGUAGGGAAUAUUGCGCAAUGGGCGAAAGCCUGACGGAGCAAUGCCGCGUGAGUGAUGAAGGUCUUCGGGUCGUAAAGCUCUGUUGUUAGGAAAGAACAAAAGCGUAAGUAACUAUGCACGUCUUGACGGUACCUAAUCAGAAAGCCACGGCUAACUACGUG
rnacentral:rRNA from 1 species